GAAAUAAUAGAUUGCUUCCCCAAUACACCGGAGUUUAAUUUUCCAACAAAUAAAGCAAUGAUGGCAAGAGAGAGGACAACAAUGGCUGUAGAAUUGCUGCAGAGGUCAGUCUUUGAUACAAACACACAUUGUGUGAUGUGUGCACGAAAGAAAGCACCAAAAUGUCCUGGUUGGUGUCCUGCAGGUUGGAUCCAGUGUGAUGAUUGCGAUUGCUGGUUCCACGGAGAGUGUGUGGGGAUGUGUCGGACAGACAUAAUAAGAGCAAAAGACGUCCCAUGGAAAUGUGUUGUCUGUGACUGAGGAGAUGUUGACACAUACUAACGCGC